rnacentral:rRNA from 1 species
CCCUUAGAUGUUCUGGGCUGCACGCGUGUUACACUGAUACAUUCAACAAGUUUUCACCUCGACUGAUAAGUCUGGGUAAUCUUUGAAAUUGUAUCGUGAUGGGGAUAGAUGAUUGCAAUUAUUCAUCUUCAACGAGGAAUGCCUAGUAAACGCAAGUCAUCAACUUGCAUUGAAUACGUUACUGCCCUUUGUACACACCGCCCGUCGCUACUACCGAUUGAAUGGUUUAGUGAGCUGCAUGGAUUGAUAAUUAGUCUUGUUUCGGCAAGUACUUAUUAUUAAGAAGUGAGGCAAAUUUGAUCAUUUAGAGGAAGUAAAANUCGUANCA